rfam:Camelus ferus unplaced genomic scaffold scaffold253, whole genome shotgun sequence.
GGAGGUAUAGCUCAGUGGUAAAGCAUAUGUUUAGCAUGCACGAGGUCCUGGGUUCAAUCCCCAGUACCGCCA